CUCCAAUAGCGUAUAUUAAAGUUGUUGCGGUUAAAAAGCUCGUAGUUGGAGUUCUGCCAGGUGACGCUCGUCCGCCAAGUGGUGUGUACAGGGCGUGCAUCUGGCCUUUCAAGGGGAACGUGUCUGCACUCAUUGUGUGGUGCGAGAUCCUUGACUUUUACUUGAGGAAAUAAGAGUGUUCCAGCAGGCUCUCGUCGUGC
rnacentral:rRNA from 1 species